UAUCGGCUGGCUGCCAGUGUUGCAAACCGACCCACUUCACAGCCCUGCCCGCCUGACGUAAUUUGGCAGAAACGACGUAUUUUUGUUUAUGUGAGCCCGCUCCCCGCCCCUCAUAAAGUGAGUGGCCAGCUGCUCGUCCAAUGACCACCUCUAGUUGCGGAAAUUAGUAUCUCCUUGUCGGAAUCCCUCCCAGGCCCCGUCGGAAUCCAUCUGUUGCUGACCACUGAACACUGAGGCAUUUCAUCAAAAUUCCCCGUUCCUCCGGGCACACACAAAAUGAAUCGGUCCGAACCGAUUCCCAUUCGACGGGACCGCUCUUUUGACAGUGUGAUCAACCGCCUGCUCCGGAUGAGGUCCCAGAAUCAUGAGAGCUUUCGCGCCGCCAUGUACAAUUUCCUGAUCGCCGCAGGAGUGGCGGCAUUCGUGGCUGUGUGCUUCAUUCUUGGGCCCUUCGUCCGUCCAUUGCUGUGGGCCUUCCUCAUGGGCGCCGUGCUCUUCCCAUUCAAGCGACGUUUGGCGGAGAGCGUAAACAGUUGGUUUCACCGCUUGGAGGUGCGCGACUCCAAUGUACUGGUCUCGAUCUGCCUAUCGCCGCUGGAAGCCACAGAGCAUUGCGGGCGGUUGCUGAUCGGUUGGCUCUGCGAACACUGGCAACUCCUCCUGGCCGGAUGCGGAGUGGCCGGGUGCAUUAAGCUGCUGGUUCUAUACGCACCGAAGGGUUUUCUGCUGGCCAUCUGGCAUUGGAUCACCUUUUCCCAUGGCUUGUUCGUUCAAAUUAUUGGAUUCCUCAACGUAUACGUGCUCAUUUCCUUGAUCGUGGUCUACUUGAGCUGCGUCCACUUCUUCUGGAAGCCAGAGAACAGUGCCCACUUCGUGGUCGCCGGACAAUCCAUGUGGAUAGCUGUGGCGGGCUAUCUGAGUAGCUUUCUGGGCGCCCUGCAGGUGCCGGUAUUUUUACUGGUUAUGGCAUAUGUAACAGCGUCUACGGCGUAUCAUCUGCAGACCCUAGAUGAUUCGGGAUCAUAUCUUCACCGCCUGCAAAAGCUGUUCGACAAGAACGAUUUUGAGCGGUCGUUAAGCAACUUCAGCAUUUGUGGCAGACCAGGCCAUGAGCCACUGAGUCCGGGGCUGCAGUCGGAUGUGGAGGAUGUAUCGUUAAGUGACACUGUCGACUCGACGGAUACAUUUGAUGUCAAGCCAGGAACGGAGACUCCCAGUCACCAGAGCGACACGUUCUUUAAGCUGCUUUUUUAUGCCUGCCUGGGCACAUUCCUCUAUCGCAACGUGUGGAUGUUUAUCCUAGCGGCAAUCCCAGUUAUUCUGCAUCUUAUCUACACCGUAGGAGAGUAUACGGGGAUUACUCAGUUUGUUUACAACAAAAUUAGCGAAGUUUACGCAGCGCUGCGUUUCUGGGCAAUCGAACACCAUUCUGCCGUGCUGCCACUCUGUCUACCUGGUGUCCUGGAACUCAACUAUAAAAUCAACACUAUCGUGCGGGAUUCACUAAAGGCCUCCGUUGAAUCAGUCACCUCCAUCCUAAUGAUCAUCCUCAUGCUUCUCAUCAUCGUGUUUCUAAGCGUGUUCUUCUGCGUGAACAUUUACUCGGAGACGAUUGAGGUGGCUUACCUGGGCAAGGAUUUAAUUAACAAGACGAUCACAGAUCGGCCUGAGCUAAUUGACAUCUUGCCUGCCAACAUGCAAUCGUCCAUCGAGGAUGCUCUUGAUAACGCUCACCAUUAUGGUCGCCGUAAGAUUGAAACCUACAUAGACGACUGGCUGGCAGACGCCGAUAAGGUGCACGCCACCAAGUUGAAGGAGCAGAUCCUCGAAGUGUGGGACCGGCUCAUCCAGUAUUGGAUCGAUUUCAAUAAGGCCGGUUCAUCGUACGGACCGCGGGUACCAACGGAUGCCCUGAAAAGCACAUUUGGCGAAAUCGUCGACAAUCCAGGACAUUUUAAAGAGCUAGUUUUAGUGGCAAAACAGGGCAUUAUCGGCUGGGCGCAAAGCAAUACGCAGACGAUCCUCGAGGUUGCAGAGUCGUUGUGGCACAUCAUCCGGACCAACAUGUCUAUGAUAAUGGGCGUGACCGGGGAGAUUCUAUCCCUUGUGCUUUCGGGUGGACAAGCGUGCAUUGAGUUUAUUCUAGAUAUGAUUGUAUUCUUUACCGCUCUGUUCUACCUGCUCUCGAGUAGUCAGGAGAAGUACGCGCCUCUGCAGAUCACCAAGUACCUGGGCUAUUCCAGCUCGGGUAUCAAAAUCGCCGAUGCCCUGGAGAACUCCAUAACCGUAGUCCUAGUCUCAAUGUUCAGGUGCUCCACCUUUACUGGCCUGUUCACCUGGUUGGUCCAUACGGUUUUUGGGGCCCGGAUAGUGUUCCUGCCGUCCGCCUUGGCAGCUAUGUUGGCUGCUGCUCCUUUCCUAGGCAGUUACUGGUGUGCGGUGCCAGCUUUCCUAGAGCUUUGGCUGGCUCAGGACCGUUUCUAUGCAGGACUUAUAUUGUUCCUGCUUCAGUUCUUCGUGCCAUCAUCAUUUGAAACUGCUAUAUACGCGGACCUCAAAGGUGGUGGACAUCCCUACCUCAACGGCCUGGCCAUAGCAGGCGGAAUGUAUUGGAUCGGUUGGCAAGGAGCUAUUUUCGGACCUCUGAUGCUUUGCUUCUUCAUCGGCCUUUUUGAGGUGGCCACGCUGGCCAUGCGUAGUCAUCAAGAGCCCAGUAUGAACCACAUCAGACUUGUGCGGCAGGAAUUGAAAGGAUAUAUUGAUUUUUGUCUGAAGCUUGCAAUGCAGGAAUUCCCUAGCCAUGUCCAUCUGUUCGUGAAGGAAAAUUUUCCAAAAUGGUUCUUUCUUUGCCAAAAACGGCCUGGAUCAGAAUAUUUUAUUAUACAGCUGCCUUAGUAACAGUCGGAAUAAUGGAAAUGAUACCCGUUUGAACAUAAAUUGUUCUUAUUCGCUAUAAGAAAUUCUUUUUUUUUUUAUAUAUGUUUAAUGACUGCAAGGGAACAGUACGGACGAGGAGCGGACCACGUGAGUUGGCAUGGACCAGUAACUACGAAUUUCCUUUUAAUACUCGAACUGCGAACUAACAUAAGCUGUGUGGCCAAAUACCUGACAAUCAAAAUGAGAUUGGCCCGAAUAUCAUACCCUAGACUUAGGCUGGAGCUUCCUUUAACUAUUGUUGUUCGUUUCUCAGUUGCAAAUCUUACGGCCUUGCGAACUUUGAUUUUUAUUAGUACUAAAGUUUUUAAGUAUUCAAUAUGCCGUCUAUGCAGCAAGCGCUCCUUAAUAUCUCUUCUAUCGAUCUUAGUGUUCUUACAUACAAAAUGUACCUCGAAUUGUUUGUAGUCGCGAAACAUUUCCAAAGCCUUUAAGUACCGAUAUCGUGCUCGCUACUAAUUGCUUAAUGUAAAAUUGUGAUGUGUUUAAACUUAGAUACAAAAUGUGUUGCAAAUAUAUUUCUGUACUAACUAA